rfam:Lactobacillus acetotolerans DNA, complete genome, strain: NBRC 13120.
GAGAACAAGAAGAAGCUCCCGCUUCUCGCCUAAGUUAAAUUGACCUCUGGGCUGAUCGAUAUUUUCUGUUGAUUGAAGGCGGGCAGUGUUGCCCGCCUUUUUCUUGUCCU